rnacentral:rRNA from 1 species
UAGUGGCGAACGGGUGAGUAACACGUGGGCAAUCUGCCCUGCACUCUGGGACAAGCCCUGGAAACGGGGUCUAAUACCGGAUAACACUGUCCCCCUCCUGGGGGACGGUUGAAAGCUCCGGCGGUGCAGGAUGAGCCCGCGGCCUAUCAGCUUGUUGGUGGGGUAAUGGCCUACCAAGGCGACGACGGGUAGCCGGCCUGAGAGGGCGACCGGCCACACUGGGACUGAGACACGGCCCAGACUCCUACGGGAGGCAGCAGUGGGGAAUAUUGCACAAUGGGCGAAAGCCUGAUGCAGCGACGCCGCGUGAGGGAUGACGGCCUUCGGGUUGUAAACCUCUUUCAGCAGGGAAGAAGCGAAAGUGACGGUACCUGCAGAAGAAGCGCCGGCUAACUACGUGCCAGCAGCCGCGGUAAUACGUAGGGCGCAAGCGUUGUCCGGAAUUAUUGGGCGUAAAGAGCUCGUAGGCGGUCUGUCACGUCGGGUGNC